GCCUUGCCAGCCCGCUACAGAAACUCAAAGGAAGUUGACGGGGGCCCGCACAAGCGGUGGAGCAUGUGGUUUAAUUCGAUGAUACGCGAGGAACCUUACCUGGGCUCGAACGUAAGAUGACUGUAGGUGAAAGCUUACAUCUCUUCGGAGCAUUUUACGAGGUGCUGCAUGGUUGUCGUCAGCUCGUGCCGUGAGGUGUCGGGUUAAGUCCCAUAACGAGCGCAACCCCUACCUUUAGUUGCCAUCAGGUAAUGCUGGGGACUCUAAAGGAACUGCCUACGCAAGUAGUGAGGAAGGCGGGGAUGACGUCAAAUCAGCACGGCCCUUACGUCCAGGGCUACACACGUGCUACAAUGGCCGAUACAGAGGGCAGCUACCUGGUGACAGGAUGCAAAUCUCCAAAGUCGGUCUCAGUUCGGACCGGAGUCUGCAACCCGACUCCGUGAAGUUGGAUUCGCUAGUAAUCGCGCAUCAGCCAUGGCGCGGUGAAUACGUUCCCGGGCCUU
rnacentral:rRNA from 1 species